rnacentral:rRNA from 1 species
AGAAUCCUAAGGUGUGCGAGAGAACUCUGGUUAAGGAACUCGGCAAAAUGACCCCGUAACUUCGGGAGAAGGGGUGCUUUCUUAACGGAAAGCCGCAGUGAAUAGGCCCAAGCGACUGUUUAGCAAAAACACAGCUCUCUGCGAAGCCGUAAGGCGAAGUAUAGGGGGUGACACCUGCCCGGUGCUGGAAGGUUAAGGAGAGGGGUUAGCGUAAGCGAAGCUCUGAACUGAAGCCCCAGUAAACGGCGGCCGUAACUAUAACGGUCCUAAGGUAGCGAAAUUCCUUGUCGGGUAAGUUCCGACCCGCACGAAAGGUGUAACGAUUUGGGCACUGUCUCAACCAGAGACUCGGUGAAAUUAUAGUACCUGUGAAGAUGCAGGUUACCCGCGACAGGACGGAAAGACCCCGUGGAGCUUUACUGUAGCCUGAUAUUGAAUUUUGGUACAGUUUGUACAGGAUAGGCGGGAGCCAUUGAAACCGGAGCGCUAGCUUCGGUGGAGGCGCUGGUGGGAUACCGCCCUGACUGUAUUGAAAUUCUAACCUACGGGUCUUAUCGACCCGGGAGACAGUGUCAGGUGGGCAGUUUGACUGGGGCGGUCGCCUCCUAAAGUGUAACGGAGGCGCCCAAAGGUUCCCUCAGAAUGGUUGGAAAUCAUUCGUAGAGUGCAAAGGCAUAAGGGAGCUUGACUGCGAGACCUACAAGUCGAGCAGGGACGAAAGUCGGGCUUAGUGAUCCGGUGGUUCCGCAUGGAAGGGCCAUCGCUCAACGGAUAAAAGCUACCCCGGGGAUAACAGGCUUAUCUCCCCCAAGAGUCCACAUCGACGGGGAGGUUUGGCACCUCGAUGUCGGCUCAUCGCAUCCUGGGGCUGUAGUCGGUCCCAAGGGUUGGGCUGUUCGCCCAUUAAAGCGGUACGCGAGCUGGGUUCAGAACGUCGUGAGACAGUUCGGUCCCUAUCCGUCGUGGGCGUAGGAAAUUUGAGAGGAGCUGUCCUUAGUACGAGAGGACCGGGAUGGACGCACCGCUGGUGUACCAGUUGUUCUGCCAAGGGCAUAGCUGGGUAGCUAUGUGCGGAAGGGAUAAGUGCUGAAAGCAUCUAAGCAUGAAGCCCCCCUCAAGAUGAGAUUUCCCAUAGCGUAAGCUAGUAAGAUCCCUGAAAGAUGAUCAGGUUGAUAGGUUCGAGGUGGAAGCAUGGUGACAUGUGGAGCUGACGAAUACUAAUAGAUUGAGGACUUAACCAU